AUUGAGCUGACAAGUCCCAAACAGGACGAAAUGCGCACCCUGGAU
rnacentral:hammerhead_ribozyme from 1 species